rnacentral:lncRNA from 1 species
UUCUACUACCAUAAGUUUUAUUAUACUAAGAGAAUGAUAUUAUUCCAACAUUCACGUAAUAAGUAUGUUGUAAUUACACUAAGAUUCUUGUAAUACUAUAAGUUAUAUUGUAUCAAAAGAAAAAUCUCAUGUAAUACUCAUAUAAUGCUUGUGUUGUAAUUGCACAUCUGAACUUUCUGCACCAUCGCAAAGAGUAAUUCU